AAAUAGAAGCCCAGACGGGUAUGCUUUGUCCAACAGUACUACUUCACUAGUAAAAAGCAUGAAAGUUUCUAAAAAUGUGCAGCUGCUAUUCUGAAAAUUCCAGUAAUGUGAAUAGGCUGUCAUGACACUUUGAGGGUGGGCAAUAAGAAAAUGAUACUUGCUUUUUCCAAAAAAGAGCAGAAGUUACACAAUCAAGGUUUCUCAUACUGCGCUAUUGUUUAUUUUAGGAGUCUCUGAUAAGAUUGAAGUCACAAUGUGAAACUGUUGAUUUGAACCCAAAAGGGGACAAAACAUGGGCCUGAAGUCAGCAACUGUACCAUACUCCGGACUUGAAGCUAGAAACUAAAAGUAUAUGCACAUUGCCAGCCAGAUCUUUACCCUGCUUCUGACCAAGCUUCUGGAACGUGUGCUUCAAAUUGCAUGCUCCUGGACAAUGGCACAGCAUGGUGUUUUCACUGAGGAAACAUUCUCCUCAACCAGUACUGCUCCCCACCACCAAGGCUGAGACAACUGUAGUAGAUUCACAUAAAGAAACAGGUGCAGAGAAAGAGAGAAAGAUUCUGUCUGUUCAGGUACUAUAAUGGCACUGGGAUGAGCUACUUGAGAAAAUGUUUGGAAUUAUAGAAUGAGUUAAAUGUCAUUAUAAGCAUCAAGCUGGCUGCUGUCCCCUGUAAAUAAAUAAGUGGAUUGGCAUUCA
rnacentral:lncRNA from 1 species